GACGAAGGGGGCUAGCGUUGUUCGGAAUUACUGGGCGUAAAGCGCGUGUAGGCGGUUGUUCAAGUCAGGUGUGAAAGCCUUGAGCUCAACUCAAGAAGUGCACUUGAUACUGGAUGACUAGAGGACCGGAGAGGAUAGUGGAAUUCCCAGUGUAGUGGUGAAAUACGUAGAGAUUGGGAAGAACACCAGUGGCGAAGGCGGCUAUCUGGACGGUUUCUGACGCUAAGACGCGAAAGCGUGGGGAGCAAACAGG
rnacentral:rRNA from 1 species